UGGGGGAUAUUGCACAAUGGGCGAAAGCCUGAUGCAGCGACGCCGCGUGGGGGAUGAAGGCUUUCGGGUUGUAAACCUCUUUCGCUAUCGAACAAGGCCCGCUUAGGGUGGGUUGAGGGUAGGUGGAGAAGAAGCGCCGGCUAACUACGUGCCAGCAGCCGCGGUAAUACAGAGGGCGCGAGCGUUGUCCGGAAUUAUUGGGCGUAAAGGGCUUGUAGGCGGCUUGUUGCGCCUGCUGUGAAAACGCGGGGCUUAACUUCGCGCGUGCAGUGGGUACGGGCAGGCUUGAGUGUGGUAGGGGUGACUGGAAUUCCAGGUGUAGCGGUGGAAUGCGCAGAUAUCUGGAGGAACACCGAUGGCGAAGGCAGGUCACUGGGCCAUUACUGACGCUGAGGAGCGAAAGCAUGGGUAGCGAACAGG
rnacentral:rRNA from 1 species